rnacentral:lncRNA from 1 species
GCCUGCACAGGUUUAUCACGCCAAGGGAAAAAAGGCUGCCUGAUCCCCACAGCCGCCUCCCUGUCAUAAGCCCCUCCAUGCAGGGCACCCUGCAAAGCGGAACUGACCCUGGACUCACCACAGAGGCGCCGGCGCCCUGUCCCCAGGCCAGCCCGGGGCCAGCCAGCACAUUCAUUUGGGGGCAACAUUUUAAAUAACUUUUCCUUCCACAGCAAAAGUCAUCUGGCAGUCCUAGUCCCUUGAAAUAUGCUUCCUCUCAGGAUAUCUUUUAGUAAAGUGAAGUAUGUUCUGAGAGCUGAUUAAGAGUCUUUCAAAAUGCUCCCCUUUACACAGUCUGUGACUCCUCUGCUGGCCCCGGGAUAAGAGAGGAAAGCUCUGCUCACAUGUUUCUAGCUCCUGACUCUGAGGGACUGGGAAAUAGGACAGUAUGAAGGAUGCCAUGGGAGCAAGGAGCAUACUUGAACCCCCAGCAGCUAGCACAGUACCCAGCAUAUAGUAAGCUCCUGUCAUGCACCGCAGAACAACAUUUCAGUCAAUGAUGGACUGCAUACAACAGUGGUCACGGAAGAUUAUAAUGGGGCUGAAAAAUUCCCAUCACCUAGUGACAUCGUGGCCAUCAUGGCGCAACACAUCACUCACGUGUUUGGAGUGAUGCUGGCGUAAAUAAAUGCUUCAGGUCCUUCAGGAGGUAUUCUAG